rnacentral:lncRNA from 1 species
UCCCAAGUUCUCACAGCACUGCCAUCAUCCACAAACAUUCUUACUGCACCAGGCACAUGGCAAGAUGAAUUCCAAGUAUGCAAGGAGCACACAAUGUCACUGAGAAGAUAUGGUUCAUACUGGGAAAAUAUAUGCAAUAAUCCAAGCACAGGAUAAGUGUCUAUGAAUGGCCAAGACAGGAGGUCUAGGGGAUAAGAACUGGGCUGAUCAGCGCAGGCAGGUGGACUGGGAGCUCAAGGGCAGCAGCAGGAAGACUCAAGCUUUUAAGUCCAAGAAGAAUGGAAAAUGCCAUUACGCCAGGAGAAGAGGGGGGGGUCCUGCUUUCAGAUGGUUGCGAUGUAUCCAGGGAGAAUGUCCAGCCACCUUCACCGC